rnacentral:rRNA from 1 species
AACGAACGCUGGCGGCAUGCCUAACACAUGCAAGUCGAACGAAGGCUUCGGCCUUAGUGGCGCACGGGUGCGUAACGCGUGGGAAUCUGCCCUUUGGUUCGGAAUAACAGCUGGAAACGGCUGCUAAUACCGGAUGAUGACGAAAGUCCAAAGAUUUAUCGCCAGAGGAUGAGCCCGCGUUGGAUUGGGUAGUUGGUGGGGUAAAGGCCUACCAAGCCGACGAUCCAUAGCUGGUCUGAGAGGAUGAUCAGCCACACUGGGACUGAGACACGGCCCAGACUCCUACGGGAGGCAGCAGUGGGGAAUAUUGGACAAUGGGCGCAAGCCUGAUCCAGCAAUGCCGCGUGAGUGAUGAAGGCCCUAGGGUUGUAAAGCUCUUUUACCCGGGAAGAUAAUGACUGUACCGGGAGAAUAAGCCCCGGCUAACUCCGUG